CGGUGAAAUGCAUAGAUAUUACUUAGAAUACCAAUUGCGAAGGCAGAUCACUAAUAAUAUAUUGACGCUGAGGGACGAAAGCGUGGGGAGCGAACAGGAUUAGAUACCCUGGUAGUCCACGCCGUAAACGAUGGAUACUAGCUGUUCGGAUUUAUCUGAGUGGCUAAGCGAAAGUGAUAAGUAUCCCACCUGGGGAGUACGUUCGCAAGAAUGAAACUCAAAGGAAUUGACGGGGGCCCGCACAAGCGGUGGAGCAUGUGGUUUAAUUCGAUGA
rnacentral:rRNA from 1 species